GAUUGUCUGCCAGUUGAUUAGUAUUUGAAUCGCUAUGGUUGAUCAAAAUAUGUAAACAUAGAUCUUACAGAUAUGAAAAUUUUCCUUGGCUGUAGCAUCGGCUGAAUAAUCGCUGUUAUGAAAUGUGCAUGAUUUGUUGACCUGUAAUUAGUACUGCAGUUUGCUUAUCUGUAACCAUCUACUUUCUUCUUUUUUUUC
rnacentral:sRNA from 1 species